UGGAAGAAUUCCUGGAGAAAUUCCUGGAAGAAUUCCUGGAGGAAUUCCUGGAAGAAUUCUAGGAAGAAUUCCUGGAAGUAUUCCUGAAGGAUUUUUUGGAUGAAUUCUUGGAGGAAUUGCUGCCAGAAUUCCUGGAGGAAAUCCUGAAAGAACUCAUGAAGGAAUUCUUGGAAGAAUUCCUGAAGAAAUUCCUGGAAGAAUUCCUGAAGGAAUUCCUGGAAGAAUUCCUGGAAGAAUUCCCGGAAGAAUUCUUAAAAGAAUUCCCGGAGGAAUUCAUGGAAGAGUUUCUGGAGGAAAUCUUGGAAAAGAUCCUGGAGGAUUUUUUGGAAGAUUUCUUGGAGGAAUUUUUUGAAAAAAUACUGCUGGAAUUCUUGGAAGAAUUACUGAAGGAAUUCUUGUAAGAAUUCCUUGAAGAAUUCCUGGAAGAAUUCCUGGAAGAAUUCCUGGAAGUAUUCCUGGAAGAAUUCCUGGAGAAUUCCUGGAAGAACUUCUGGAAGAAUUCCUGGAGGAAUUUUUGGAGAAUUCUUGGAGGAAUUUCUGGAAGCAUUCCUGGAAGAAUUUCUCGGAGAAUUCCAGGAAGAAUUCCUGGAAGUAUUCCUGGAGGAUUUUUUGGAUGAAUUCUUGGAGGAAUUCCUGCCAGAAUUCCUGGAGGAAAUCCUGAAAGAACUCAUGGAGGAAUUCUUGGAAGAAUUCCUGAAGAAAUUCCUGGAAGAAUUCCUGGAUGAAUUCCCGGAAGAAUUCUUAAAAGAAUUCCCGGAGGAAUUUAUGGAAGAAUUUCUGGAGGAAAUCUUGGAAAAAAUCCUGGAGGAUUUUUUGGAAGAUUUCUUGGAGAAAUUUUUGGAAAAAAUACUGCUGGAAUUCUUGGAAGAAUUACGAAGGAAUUCUUGUAAGAAUUCCUUGAAGAAUUCCUGGAGAAAUCUUAGGAUAGAUUCCUUAAGCCUUUCAAAAAAAGUUUUUUUUAUUUGGGAAAACAGUUAAAUAUUUUUAAUUUACGUCUUUGAACAAGAAAAAGUAAUAAAUAAAUAAUUUGCAGAUAUAGUGCUACCAAGAGGCAACAAUCUUUCACCUGAUUAAUCAUCCAAACAGAACUGAUUCCAACCACAAAGACACUCCCUUAUCUCAUCGAUCAACUUCCUGGAUCAAAUCAUUAGCCGGUAGCCUACUUCAGUUAACUAACUUCCUCUCGGGAAGAUUUCCUUAUCUGCCACUCUCUGAGAGAGACCGAAUUCGAUCCUUUACGUGACCAAAUGCCUCUCGUAGUCAGUUGGGAUUUUGUAACAAAGGCGCUAGUAUUGGGCACUUUUGGUUAGAAAAUUUGAUGGUAGAAAAAACUCAGAAUUUACUACCCAGAUGGAUUCAUAGAUAUCUAUCAGAGGCUUUAAAUUUUCAACCGAUUCGAUUUAAAAAAAAAUUAAGGAUUCAUUAAAAAGAGUUGGUAAAUUGCAUUGACUGAUUUUGAUAGGUAUCCUUUUUACAAUUUCAUAAAAAGCAAGCAAAUGGUUGAAUGUUGUAUUUGAACACUCCGCCUUAGAAUUGGGCAUAAAUGUUUUCGCAUUGUUAAACAUUUUUAUAAAAUAUAUUAAAGUUUGCAGAAGAUUCAGCUUUAACGUCACCAGAUCACCCAGUCCCUUAUUGCACAACUAACUUGAAAGAUCUUAGAGGAAGUUUGUAAUAUCCUAGCAAUAUUGUUGAAAAUAUUUAAGAAAAACCGUGUUGAGUGUUUUGAAGAAAAAAUAUUCAAGUAAAAGACAGAUUAUAGAAAAUUAUGUGUCCCGGUAGAUCUAAAUAAACUGAAAAUAGAUAAAGAAACGAUGAAAGGUUAAUACAAAAUCGCCCAAUGCUAUACGACUUUUCACCUACUGUGUUGGUUAACCAUUUUGACAUUUUUAAAUUAUUUUUUUAAUGCAAAUUUUAUUGCCUUUCUCGUAUUUUUUUUCUCAAAAUUGGAAGUUUUACCAUGUUUUAUUUUUGUUUUUUGGUAAUGUUCCAUAACUAAAUUGAAAAACCGUAAAUCGCCCAAGGCUACGUGAUUUUUCAUUGAACAUGCCGUCCUCGAAUUUUGAGAUCUGCAACAAACCAAACGAUGAUAGGAACAUUCUCUCACCCUUAGCGAGUGCGGCCUCAAAACAAGAAAACUUCUCCAAGAACCUCAAUGUAAAUACACAAUUCCACCUAUUGAGGAUUCCCACCCGUAGAUUUGCCCUCGAUCAUGUUGAUAAAGUGCGUAGUUUGAAAAAUGGUUUCUAUCCCAGUCGGACGCGUCAAAAGAAGUGUGUCUAUUUUUUCAACGUCAGAAGGGCAAUCAUGGCACUCUGGUAAGAUGGAAUCGAAUCGCAUGAAAUUCAUCUGGAGGAUGUCGGACGUGAUCGAGAGGCAACUUGCGUGCUUUUUGGUGCACGUAGUUCUUCUACGAGAAACAGGGAACAAAAAUGAAUAAACACCAACCCGAAAUGUCGGGGAAAGCUUUCGCAGGAGGUUAGGUCAGUUGGUUCAAGCAAGAACACGCUGGCUGCUCUCUCGGCUGGGAAGAUUAAUGGUACUGCUGGGAGCCCUCUCGGUGGAUCCAUGAAGGCGUGAAUUUAUUCGAUACAAAUGUAAAUCGGAGUUUUUGCAUUGAUUUUACUUUUACCUCGCGUUUUUUUUUUGCGCCGGCACGGACAGACAUCCAGUUUGGGUAUCUUGUUAGACUGAGGGCUGCUGGCAUGGGAAUACAAAGCUCGGUUAAUCUGGGAGGUAAUUUUUCAAAAGAGCUCCUUUGUGAUUUGAAUUGAAUGAGGCUUGAAAUUUCAUGGGAAUCUACUGGAUAAACUAGAGCAAUUAGGAGCUGUCAACGGAUUAAAUUUUAUUGUAAAUCAGUUGAUUUACGUUUAAAAUUCUUUCUUGUUUCAAAACUUGUGAGUUUAUUUUUUUAUUUUUUUUACAUUUUUAUUGUUUUAUUUAUUAUAUUUAUUUUUUUCACUUUUUAUUUUAACAAUUCAAAUUGAUAAAACCCUCAUCCUGUAUUGAUGAAGCAUCUGCUUAAUAUGCUCAAGGUGCAUUUUCAUACUCUUCUACAUUUUAGAUAUUUUCAGAAGUUGAAAUUAUUAUUCCAAAAGAUACAAGCUUAUCCAAGUUUUUUAUUAAUUUACACAAUUUUUGACUCUAUUUAACAAUGCUUCCUUUCUCAAAACUGAAGCUCGACAUUUGUUUAAAAUAAAUAACCAAAAUCAAGAUCAAAUUGCUACCAUUACGUAAUACGUCAUGAAACCAUUCACUGUGAUCAAUAUUUCAUAAUUUCAAGUGGCUGUAAGUAAAACAUUUAACACGAUCACUUUAAACCAAUUUCGAAAACCAUCGAGAGCGGUCAAAAUGCCACAUAACAUGCACCAACCACCGGAACGAUAUGAAUUUACCAUCAGCAAGAAAACAUCACAGAACCUCACAAACGUACCAACAAACGUUCGACGGUCACGUAUUCUAAAUAUCGAAAAGUGACCCCACUAAAAUAUGAAUGAUAUUAUUGAAUCGAAACAGUCAGUCAGCACACACUUCUAUCUCCGCCGAUAGUGCCGCCUCGCAAAUGAUCUGCAAACACAUAUACGGAGGGACAUCACCACCGUGCAUUUGUUCUCUCAACUGUAUGUUGGAUUGUUUUGAUAGGAGGUAGUUCGGUAAGUGAUGAUUAAAGUAAGAGAAAAUGAUACGAAGAUUUAUCGGAAUUGCAAAGAAAAACUGAUUUUUUCGCAAAAUCUUAUUCAAAAUCUUACUUGUUUACUACUUGCUAAAUACAUCAAAAUACUAAAUAAACUUCCACCUUAUAGCGCAUAAUACAAGAUGGCCAUGAAUUUGCUACGUAGGGUCUGGGACCAUUUGGGCAAGAGCUCCUAUUUUGGGCACUUCCUACUAUAGCUCAGUCAAUUUUGAACCGAUUGACUUGAUUAUUGAGACACGAUCAGAUACGCACAGUAUCUAGUCAUGUGCAAAAAAUCAAGUCAAUUGGUAAAUUGACUGAGUUAUAGCAGCAAGUGCCCAAAAUAGGUGCUCCUGCGCAAAUGGUUCCAGACCCUAUCUCAAUACAUACCCGAGCAAAGUACAAUAACUGGGCAGUAACAAACUGAUAACUAGUGUUCGCUCCAGAACUCAUUUUACAAUUUUGUGUUAUCAACUUGGUAGUUCAUGUUAUCGUUACCUGUCAAACUGGGGGCAUCAUCGUCGACAACAACAACGGAAGUUAGUUAUCAAUGACCGUUGCAAAUAUCUUUCUGAUAACAAAAUAAGUUUUCAGUUGGAUAAAAUUGAAGUUGUUUUCAGGGUGCCUUUGAUGAUAACAUAAUGAGAUAUUUUUUUGAUAUCACGGGUAUACUUGGUUGUUAUCAUGUUUGUUAUGUUGCCUGCUUAUUCAGCCACAAUGAGAACAAAUUUAGUUAUCUAUUUUUGAUAUCAGAUAACUCAGUAUGUUAUGAAACUUUGCUCGGGAAGCUAAUUAAAUCUAACCAAAACGCCAUGAUUAAAUAAAAGAAUUAUCAAAGGUUUUUAAGAGUCUUCAAUAGUGCUACCAUGAACAAUCGCAGAAUAUCAUAGAGUACCUACUGCGGAAUUCAAUUGAACAUUAUGAAAUACCAUGGAGUUUCUAGUGCAAGCACUAGAUUAGAUUAGAUUAGAUUAGAUUAGAUUAGAUACCACGAAGUAACACAUAAAAAAUAGAGUACUGUGGAAUACCAUGGAUCAUCAGGAGCCCCCUUAGAAUAGCUGACAGAUAAAAAGACAUGCCUCACAAUCAACGGAUCAGUAUAUGAAUCCAUUGUAAUAUUUUACUUAUAUAUGAUUCAUAUAUCGAUCCGGUUCUAGCGAUUGCUCGACCCACUUUCAAGCUACGGCGGCUAAUUUGCUGCGUGGUAGGAUGUAUUUUGUACAUUACUUUCACGACUGAUGUACAGCAAAAAUGAUGUGAUAUCACAAGUUUUUUUUCUGUGUACACUUAAAACUCCAUAAUUUCCAGAAGUGCUUCCGAAAACCCCUUGAAACUCCCUCAGACACCCUGUAACGCAUCUGAGACAUUUUGAACCCCUCAAGAACGUUCCUGCAACGCCUGCGCAACCCGUUAAAAAUUGUCUGAAGCUUGUUGAAAUACCUCCAAAACCCCCAAAAACACCUCUGAACUCUGAAACCCCCUUUAAAGCCGUAGAAACGCCUUGAAAGGCCUCUGAAAUUCUUAUGAUCUGGAGAAACUCCUUAUGACACUCCUGAUGUACUUCCUAGAGAAAUCUUUUGCGAUAUUUCCAUAAUGACUUGGAAUUUCUUGGAGAAUUCCCCUAAUAAGUUUGCUGGAGAAUUACAUGGAGAAAUUCCAGGAGAAAACCGUAGAUGCCUUUCUGAAAGAAUGCUUGGGAAAAAAUCAAGUAAAAUAACUGCAAAAAUCCCCGUAAAAAUACUUCAAAAAAUAAUGAAAAUUUUUAAGAUAUUCAUGUUGAAAUAAUAAUGGGGAAAUUAUUGAAUGAAUUUCUGGAAAAAUCCGUGAUGAAAUGGCCAGAGGUAUUCUUGGAGUAGUUUUUGAGAAAACCAUGAGGGAAUUCCUGGUGGAAUUCCUGCAGUAAUCUUUGUCUGAAUUUCUUCUGAAAUUGCUAGAAGGAAUCAUGCAAAAAUCUGUGGUAUGUAAACCUGCAGUUAUAUCUGAAUAAAUGUACGAAUUCCUGAUUUUCUAAAGAAAUCGCAGGAAGAAGUGGCAACAGAAUCCCUGAAAGAUUUUUCAAUGAAUCAUUAAAUAAAUUUCUGAAUGAAUACUUGAUUGAUUAUCUAAAAGAAUCCUGGAAGAUUUUCUAAAAAAGAAUGCGGUAGGAAUUUCCAGAAUCCAAGAAAGAUGUUCCUGCGGAAUCGUUGGGGAAACCCUGGAGGGAUUAAAUAAAGAAUCUUUCGAAGAAUGUCUUGAAGAAUCAUUGGAAGAACGUCUAAAGCAAUCCAUGGACGAAUUUCUGGAAGAAUCCCUAGGGGAAUUUCUAAAAGAUGACAUAAAGCAGAUUUGGAAGAAAUUUUCGGAGAAAUUUCUGAAGGGAUUCAAUAAAUACUCUUUGGAGAAAUUUCCGAAGGAAUCACUGGAAGAACUUCUGAAGCUAUCAAUGGAAGGCUUCUAGAAGAAUCCUAGGAGGAAUUUCUAAUGGAUUUCAUGGAACAAUUUUGAAUGGAAUCUAUGGAGAAGUUUCCAGAGGAAUCUCUAGAAAAAAAAUCUUUGGCAAUAAAUCAGCGCCAUUCCGUUUUUUUUCAUGAAUUUAUAAAGUGCCUCCAGCAAUAAAAUUUCGAUAUUUUAAAUCUCAAUUAUUGUCAAGGCUGUUUUAAACAUUUACAACUAAUAAAGGAUACACUCCUUAUAUAAAGUAAUUCCUGAAAAAAAAUCGAGAAAGAUUUUCCGAAAAAAACCGGAAGGGGUUUCUGAAAAAAUCUCUGAAGAAUUUCAUAACGAAAUCUAUCAAAGAAUUACUAAGAAAAUCUACGAAAGCUUCUCUAAAGAAAUGCUUUGGAAACUUUUUAGAGGAAUCUCUGGAAGAAUUUCUGAAAUUUUUUUCAAGGAACUCCUAGGAAAGUUCAUAAAGGAAUCCCUAGAAAAUAAUUCCGAAUAAAUCUUAAACAAAUAUUUGGAAAAUUUGUCAAAGAAUCCUUGAAAAAAAUCAUGGAAGAUUUUCCAAUAGAAUCCUCAGAAUAGGGGUAGAAAUUUCGGGAUAGUAAUUCUAAAAAAAUCCGUGGAAAACAUUCUCAAUGCCAGAGAAAUUCAUAUACCGUGGCAGGUUUUACAAUGAAAUCUUUCUAGAAAUUUCAGAAGGAAUCUCUGAAGGAACAUCUGAAGCAGCCGUUGGAGAAAAAACCAAAUGUAUCUUCGGCAGAAUUUUUGAAAGAAUCCUUUAACGAAUUUUGGCGGAAUUUAUUUAAGAAUAUUCUUGGAUAAAUUUACGAAGCUCUGGAAAAAUUUCUGAAAUAUUUUUGAUAACCUUCCAGAUCUGUGAAGGAAUCUUUUAAUGAUUAUCAAGAGGAGUCUUUUGUGAAAUUAAUUGAAAACUAUCAAGUGAAAUUCCUAAAGAACUGAUUUCUGAAGAAUCCCCAGAAAAUCCAAAAUCCUCUCAGGACGAUUUAUUGAUAGAAUCCCUGGCGGAGUUUUUAAGAAAUCUCUAGAUGAGUUUCCGAAAGAAUCUUUAGAUUUUUUUGUUGAAAGAAUUUCUAAUGGAAUACCUGGAAAAAGUCAUUCAAUUUUUUUGCUCGUAUAGACCCACUAAAAUAGGAUAUCUCGAUAUUUUAUUAUUAAAUCUUACAUCAGGCGGCGAAAAUUCAAGGUUUAUUUCUCUUAUAAUGAUGAUAAACCUGGGUUAUUUUUCUUAUAUUUGUAAAGGCAUAAAGAGAUUCGAAAAAUUAUAUAUGUAAUUGAUUUUAUUAUACUCAGAAGAGCGACAUGAAAAUUUCACCAGUAUCAAAAAAGAAAGGCAUAUUUUUUAUAUUUAUAAAGGCGAAAACUAUUUCGAAGAAAAUCACGUGAUUAUUUUAAACACAUUGAUGAGAAGUUUUGGAAGCACAAAAAAUGGAUUUUUUUUCAAUUACAGUGAGGACCCGAUUUUGUCAGCCCCCGAUUUUGUCAGCUUUUUUUGAAGUAGAAAAAUAAAUGUGUUUUUCAUUCAGAAUUUCAAUUUCAAAAUCAAUACUAAUGCAGUUGAUGUCUUUGGGAUAGUAAAAAAAUUACGCAAUGAACAAAACUUGUGUAACUUUUGGAAACGGCCGAACUUAUUCUACAAACUAACACAUAUAUGCCAUCUAAGCACCCAACCAUAGCCAAUUUUAAACCAAUAUUGUUUUAAAUUGCUAGAAGAUUUCAGCUCUCUCUUCAUGGCGUAACGUUCCACCUGGGACACAGCCUGCACCUCAGCUUAGUAUUUCAUAAGAACUUUCACAAUUUUUGAUUGAGAUCCCCCACAGCCAAUGUUUAUUUUGCAAAUAUGUAUAUCGUAUGGUAGUCAUGAAAAUAUUUUAUACAUAAGGUAGUUAAGGAAAUGUCGAUUAUGAAACGGAUUCUGGGCUAACAGGGAACCAAACUCGCCACCCUUAGCAUGGUUUUGCUGAUGGAAUGUGCACUUACCACAUCGGCUAUAUGGGCUUUACUCUCUGAAGCCGGAGUGUUUUGCUAGUGAGCUCGGUUUCAACGCCGGGGUAAUAUAUGUCCCACCGUUUCCAAAGACUUAAGAAUAUUCUUUUUAAUUUCCUCUGAAACAUAACAAACAAUAAAUAACAAUAAAAACAAUAAAUGCUGCCUGCUGUUGUGAUUACAAGUCAACCAGUUUAUUUCUUCUUUCCGGCAUCUCUGGGAUUCCUCCAGAUUUGCUUGUUAGGAUUGCUCCAGCUAUUUAUUAUGAGAUUUGUGUUGUAGAUUUCCUGCUUGGAUUGACUCAGAAAUUGUUGUCGGAGUUCUUCCAGAGAGUUGUCCAUAAGAAACCCUUAAGGUAUUUGAUCUGGGAUUCCCCCAGAAAUUCUUGCUGCGAUUGUUGCUUGGUUUCUUGUAAGUAUUUGUGCUGGUGUUUCUCCAAGAAUUCCACCGGAAAAUUUCAAAAGAAUUCUUUCAAGGAUUUUAUAAAGAUUCAUUCAAAUGUGUCUGUUUAUGAUUUUUCCAGGCAUUCCUCCUGUGAUUUCUUCAGAAGUUUCUUGAGAUUUGUUUAGGUACUCCUGCUAGGAUUUCUCCAAUUUUUUUUGCUGCUAUUCCUGCAGGACUUUUUCCAAAAAUUUCUGUAUGAGCUCCUACAGCGAUGUAUCCAGCUAUUUCUCCAAGGAUUUCUCCAAUAAUUCCUCCUGCAAUUCCUACGUGGAUUUAUCCAGGGGUUUUCCUAGCGAUUCUUUCAAGACAUGCUGCUGGAGAUGCAGUCCAGGAACUUCUGCUGGAGUUCCUCUUAGAUUUUUUUCUGGUAAUUUCUUUGAGAACCCUUUCAGAUAUUUCACUAAGAAUUGUUCAUGCAUUCUUCCUAUGAUACCCUCAGAGAUUCCUUCAGAAACUCCUGCUGAAAUUUCUCCAGAAAUUCUUGCUAUCUCUACUGGUUUCUGAGAUAUUUGAAAAAAAAAUGUCGUUUUUCAGUAUUUUUUGGGUUGGGUACCAAAAUAUGACAUUUUUUUAAGUAUCUCGGAAACCAGUGGAGAUAUCGCUAUUUUGGGCACAAAUUUGGCCCAAUUGGGACUAGAAUCACCGAUUUGGUUUAGAAAAAAAAGUUUGAAAAUUAAAUUUGAAAUGUUUUUUUGAAAAUUUGUUCUAGCAAAAAUUUCAAUUGAACCCUUUGCCCCACCCCUAAAUAUCAACCGAAAUCGCUCAUUUUUGUACAGCUCAUUUAUUUCGACUAGUAGAUCACUUUUCACUUGAGAAAUCUUAUAUCGGAGAGAUUUUUUUGAAAUUAGCCCCACCCUAGUGCAAUGCCCGCAUAAACGAUAACCAUAAGAUGUGCUUAACCACCCAUUUUGGAAACAGUUUGAACAGUAUGCAUUACGGUCCGUGUAUGGUGUUGGUUUAUUAGGGUAGUCCAUGAAUACGGAACGCACGAAUAUCCCAAAUGGAAGAGAAUGUAUCCCUGAAGCCAACCUACUGAUGAAUAAAUCUAGCGAUAUUUUAGGGAUUUUUCAAGAAUUCCUUCAGUGAUCCUUCUAGGGAUUUCUUCGAAUGUUCCUCUAUUAAUGCCUUCAGUUAUCACUCAUAUACGAAUUCUUCUAGAACUUUUACUAUGAUUCCUAUGUUAGAUUUCCCGGAUAGGCAUCCUCUAUGGACUCCCCGGGAGUCCCUCUUGAGAUUUUUCUAUGGUUACCUCUUGGUAUUCCUAUACGAAAAUCUCUUGGUAUUUCUUCUAAAAUUCCUUUAGAAAACUUUGCAGAAACUAGUCACGGGAUUUCUUCGGGAAUUUCUUGGGGUUACGUUCCGUAAUUCUUCUUGUAAUUUCUCCAGAAAUUUUUCCGAAAAUUCCUUCAAAGAUUUCUCCAGCGAUUUUGUUCGCUACCCGAUUUUGUCAGCCCAAAAUGCUACCAGGGGCUGACAUAAUCGGGUCCUUACUGUAUAAGGGCGCACACAUUUUGAAAAAAUCACAUGAGUCAAAUUUCCAAAUUUCUUACAAGUAGAUAUGGAAGCGCAAAAAAAUACGUACAUAGAGUAUUGUUAAGCAGGUCCAUCCCAAGUUAACCAUAAUUUAAACCUGUAUAUCUGAGAAGCUCUUAUAAGAAUCUAUGUUUGAUUUUUGGCAAGAACUUUAAAUUUGAAUAACGUAAAAUUUGAGGCACUUUAUUGAAUAAUUUCUAGAGCAUUUGAAGCAUACUCCAAGCAAUUUCUGCAAAGAACUGUUUAGCAAAAUUUCUGAUUUUUUGUUGUGGCACAAUCCCCGGAAGAGUUAUGGCUUUUCACUUGAAAAAUGUUUGAGGAAUUUUUUGUUUCAAAUUUGUAAGACGCUUUGAAAGUUGUGUGGAUUUUUUUAAAUUAUUUAAUUUUUUUUAAGAAACAAAACAAUGAAAAAUACUUAUUCGUUAAGAGAUUGUUUGAUUAAACUUCAUCAAACAUGAAUAGCUUUUUCAAACUCGAAUCAUAGGCCUGAAUAGCUCUCGAAGAACAAUGAAAUUACCCAUAAAACCUUAAGAAUAUGAUAUACAAAUCCAAGAAAUUAUUUCUGGAAAAACAUAUAAUAUUUCGAGCGCCAUUAGCAGUAGGAUUUCAAAUAGAUCUCAAGAGGCCCUUUGAAAACUUCUCGCUCGAAUAAGGCAAAUUUUUGGCGGAUUUCUAGUGGAUCAAUAGAAGGAAAGGAUGCCGGUUAACAUUGCCAAUAAAUUGGCGAAUGAGAUAUUAGAAAAAAAAAACUGCUGGAGAAAUAUUAAUGAAACAAUAUGUCAAAUAUGUGGAUUUCCUCAUUCACCGAUUUUUCAGAAUUCCUCUGAGAUCUUUCAAAUUCAGAAUUCAACGAUAAUAAAUUUAAAAAAAAUGUCCUCGUUGUUAGUCGAUCUUUGUAUUCAAAAACAUCUAUCUGCUGGGCAGAGUAAGAGAAGUGGACCGCAACGAUAGUUUGUUUAGCAACAUGUGUUUCAAGAGAAACACCCAAAGUUUUUAAAAAUAACUUUUGAAUGGUGGAGAAAUUAGUGUGCUGCUAUUUGUGCUGCAUUUCAAAAUCAUUGUGGCGAAAAAUUUAAAAAAGCCUCAGACUUAAAACGGUUAUUGUUAUUUAAAUAAGAACAAGCUUAUUCUUA